rnacentral:rRNA from 1 species
UACGGGGGGUGCGAGCGUUGUCCGGAAUCACUGGGCGUAAAGGGCGCGUAGGUGGUGUCGUAAGUUUGUGGUGAAAGCCCGGGGCUCAACCCCGGGUCUGCCGCGAAUACUGCGAGACUUGAGUGCUGUAGAGGCGGGUAGAAUGCCGGGUGUAGCGGUGGAAUGCGUAGAGAUCCGGCAGAAGACCGGUGGCGAAGGCGGCCCGCUGGGCAGUAACUGACACUGAGGCGCGACAGCAUGGGGAGCAAACAGG